GAGUAUGAUGGCAAGAUCGCUGAUGUUUGGUCUUGUGGAGUCACUUUGUAUGUCAUGCUCGUUGGUGCUUACCCUUUUGAAGAUCCUUCUGAUCCUAAAGAUUUCAGGAAGACCAUCGGUCGGAUCCUGAGGUCGCAGUAUUCUAUACCUGACUAUGUCCGAGUUUCUGAUCUAUGCAAACAUCUUCUCUCUCGAAUAUUCGUGGCCAACCCUGAAAAGGUAAAUAAGUUAUACUAUCUUAAUUUUGAGUUUUUACUGCAGAGCUCGUCUGCAUAGCUAAGUGAAACAUUGAUCAUGGACCCUUUUAACAGUUAGUAUAUAUAGAUGGGCUCAGAUUAUAAUUUUUUAAUUAAAAGUCUUAAUAAAUUGGUAAUUGAUGGUUUUAAGCUUUGAUUCUAACUAACAUUCGACUGGUGGACAGAGAAUAACUAUGGAGGAGAUCAAGAAUCAUUCUUGGUUUCUCAAGAAUUUGCCGGUUGAUAUGUCAGAAGGAUCAUCGAGAAGUAAUAACCCAUCUCAAUCAGAGGAAGAGAUAGUGUGGAUCAUUGAGGAAGCUCGUAAAGCGAUCACUGGAGCUUCUGGACUCUCCGGUGCUGGUGGCUCUGGUGAUAGCGGUAGUGGUGCUAUGGGAAGUAGCAUGGAUCUUGAUGAUUUGGAUGUUGAUUAUGACGAUGAUAUCGAAACUGGUGAUUUCGUUUGCACUUUGUGACCAUUUACAAUUAUUUUCAUUACUAAAAGGAGAUUGCAUGUUCAUAAGCUUUGCACAAACGUGAUUGUAAUGAUCUUUAUAGCUUUGAUUAUUUUAAACGCAGUGGUUGAAUGUUAUGUUGAGGUGUUUGAUUCUCAGUGAAUUGGGCUUAAAUAUGGGUUUAAGAACUUUAUGGACUUAAACCUUUGUAUUUUUUUUUGCCUUUUAGGCCUCAUCAAUAUGAGAAAAAUGUCUAUUCUCUGAGAUGGCUUUGAAUGAAAGUUAACUCAAAUAUUACAAAAAUCACAAUUUCAGAAUAUAUAUAUAUAUACAUGCAACGAAUAUCCAUACAAUUCUGAGAGAAUUCUACUUUUAUAUCAAAUUUUAUACUAAUUUUCAAAUUUACCUCUAAAUGAUAACUAUUUUCAUAAAUAUUUUAUGAAAAAACAAAAUCAAUCUUCCUAAAUCAUUUAUACAUGUUUAAAAAUCAUUUAUAAAUGUUUAUAAACUCAACCCCACUCUAUAAAUACUAAAUCCUAAACAAUAAUCACUAAAUCUUAAACUUAAAUGAUAUAGUAUUUUUAAUUGAAUGUAUCUUUGAAAAUUGGUAUUCAAAUUUCUCUACAAACUUUUUUAUUUAUCACUUGGAUUAUAUAUGUUGAAAUUUCAAAAAAAAAAACUAAGAGGAUAAAAAGAAGCAAAAAUAUAUAGUAGAAUCACUGAAGCAAGAAUACGAAUCAUAUAUCAUAAAGUUGAAAUUAUUAGAAUAAAAAUAACGAAUAAGAAGAGUAUUAUAAAGAGACAAUUAUUUGAAGGACUCUCCAUUUACAUAUAGAUUCUGUCGGAAAAAAAUAACAGAGAAAAACUAUGACACGAGUAUUAUAAAGAGAGACUUUUUUGGGUCUCAAGUCAUAGCUCUGGAGAAAUAAAUGAAUUAGCUGUUUUGUUCUUUUUUUUUGAAAAAGAAAUUAGCUGUUUUCUUUUCUUUUCUUCUCUUUUUUGAAUCUUUUAAGAGAGACAAAUGUGAAGAUCGUACAAAUUGGGGAAAUGAAAAAGAUCAAGAAGAAGUUGGUUCUUUGUUGUUGCUGGAUGUACUUUCAGGUGUAGUUGUUGCUUCAACUUUUGCUGACACUUGUUGGGGUGCUUCAGAUUCUGGAGAAGACAAAAAAAAACAUAAACCAGAUACUAAUUGCAGUUUAGUCUGAUUUAUAUGAAUCUUAAGCAAAGUUUUAUUCAAUUUUUCUGUAAAAUAAUAAAUUUGAUCAUUAAAUUGAAAAAGGUGACAGAAAAACAAUUGAAACGACCACUAUUGAUUUUCGACACAAUCCACACAACACACAACACACUGUACAAAACAUAUAUGUGUGUGUGGUGUGGAGAGAUGUUGUCUGUGUAUGGUGAGUUCACUGGUAAGGCGACCAAAUUGACAGCUGAUGGAGAAGAGACACACAUAUACCAACGUAGUGAAAAUAGACAGCUCAUUCCACAUGGAUCCUUUAUUCACUGUUCUUCUCCAAUCAUUCACGCUUCUUUUCUUUUCUAUUUCUUCACCUAUUUGGUUGAAACCCAUACUCUAUUUUUCUACUCAACAGAGUGGUAGACCAUAAUUAACCCAGGGUUCUUAGAAUGGGUUCUUAUCCGAAGUUAAGAAACUAUUUCUUAACUUUUAACUAAAAAAGCUAAGAACUGGUUCUUAAAUAAGGUACAUGAGGUUUUUAGAAUUUGGUUCUUAGCGAAGUUAAGAAACAGUUUUUUAACUUCCACUAAAAACUCAUUCUAAUAACCCCGGAUUAAUCAUGUUUAUACUACCUCCCAUCGUUAUUAUAUGACGUUUAAGUGCUUUCUUUUUGUAUCAUUAUAUCUGACGUUCACGGAAUCCCAAGCAUAUAAUGACAUAAUAAAACUUUGUUUACCCUCAUAGCUGAUAAUGAUACAAAGUCAAUUUUAACAUUAAACACUAACCGAGAAGGUUAAAAUAGAGAUUCCAUUAUCUUUCUUAAUUUACGUGUAAACUUUUGAAACGUCGUAUAAUAACGAACGGUGGGGGGAGUAUAUUUUAUUUUUUUCCAAACACUUAACUGAUAUGUUUCGUUCAAACUAAGAACAUGAUUAUCGCAUAAGCGAUCCUUAGUUUUUUUUUGGUUUUUUUUUUUUUUUUCUUAAAAAAAAGAUUAAAAAUGAACCAAUUGCGGGACGCCACGUGUCGAUGGGACCUGCAAACAGUGCCAAAACCCUCCAAUUACCGAUCUUUAUUUGGUGUUUGUUGGUAGUGGUUUUUAAAAUUUUUGUGGAAUCCACGCGUCAGUAAAUUCCACAUUUUGUUAAAAAGUUCCGAUGUUGAUGCUCUAAGAUGUGGUUCAAUUACUUCUUGGAUUGGACCACGUCUUAGUUCAAAUGUAGGUUUUGGGUUUCUAACACGUGAGUGACUCUCCCCAACCUAUUUAAAAUGACAUUUUUUUAUUGACAAGCGGUGGCAACAAACCAUAUUUAUAUUUACUAGGUCAGUCAUCUAUAUAUUUAAAUCACCUUUUAAGAAGUAUUGUGAAAUUUUUAUUAUCAUUUUUUUCUUUAAAUGUAGGAUUGAUAGCAUGUAAAAAUAAUUAAAAGAAACUAAAUACGCACCUUCGGUAGAAGAGAGUAAUCCUUGGAGAGGAGAUGAAAAAGGUGAACUGGAUGGGUAAACGAGGAAAGAAGAAGUAAACCGUUGAUGCUGUUGUUGUUGUUGUUGUUGAGGGUUAUACGGUUGAGGAAGAUGAGGAUGAUGGUGUUGGUAUGGCAUUCUAGAAGCUGGAAGAGAACAACCGUAAUAGUAAGGAGAAGGCAUUAUGGUUGCUGCUGAUGGUGAUGUUGCUCCUCCUCCAUAUAGUUGUUGCUGCUGUUGAUAGUACUGUGCUUGUUGCAACUGUGUGUUGUACAUUGCCCGUAGCAUGUGUAUAUAAUAUGAUCAUUAUCAUAUGUGUUACAACAAACAUGCAUGUGCUAAUGUUUUUCAUGCAUUAUGUAAGUGGUCGACAUGUGCAGGAUACAUUGUACAUAAAAAUCCCAUUAUUAACUUCAUAUCUUGCAUUUCAUGAUUAAAUUGGAUUUUGUUUCAUGUUUAUGUUGGGUAUGCAUAUGUGAAUGUCAGUGUAUAUAUGUGCGUCUGUAUCAUAAGAAUGUAGGGGAGAGAAAGAGAAACUGACUUGGUGGUACCGGAAUUGAUCAGGGUUAUAGGUGUACCUGAAAAAACGAAGAAUUCAAUGUCCCUUAAUUUAUAACAAAAAUUCAGAAAAUUACUUGUUAAAUACUUUAUCUGAAACAUUAUUAUAUAAAAUAAUUUCUCAUUUGUAUCUUCUUUUACCUUCUUGCACGGUAAGGAACAUCUCAAUAUAAUGCAGGGUUUAAUAUCUAUAUAUUCUCAUGUUGUGAUAUUUACAGCCUGACAACAAGUGGCUCCAAUGACGCAUUAAAUUGUCUCCUACCAUUUUAAUCGCAAUGGACCAUCAUCUCAUUAUCUAUGCAAAAUAUUUAUAAUUCUCUCCUAAACUCUGUACAUGAGGGUUUGAAUCAUUGGAGCCAGUUAAUAAAGAAAAUAUAUACUGACUCACCCAUAGGAAGGAUACAUGAGCUGGUGGGCAGCUGAAGCCGGUGGCAGCGGUUCAAAACAAUACAUGUUUUAAGAUUUUUCAUAUUUAUUAAUAAAAUAUAAUAAAAUUUAGUUAUUAAUGUAUAAUUUUUUAUAAUUUUAUAUUUUUAAAUCAAUAAUAUUUCAAAAAAUACAAUUAAUGUUCUUGAAGUUUACAAUUUUUCAUUAUUAAUUGAUAAAAAAAAUAGAUUGAAAUAUAAAAAAUAUAUUUUUCUGAAACAAUGUAAAUUUUUCAAAUGGAAAAUAUGAUUGAAUUUAUUUCGUAUCCAUGUCAAAUUAAAAACAUUUAGUUGGCAACUUAAAAUUCAUAAACAAUUAACACGUGUCAAAUUCUCCAUCGAUCCUUAAUCGCAGAAACAUACAAACAAGCAAAGUCAAAAGCAGUGACUCUGUUCCAAAAGCAAAGCAGGUUCCCAAGAAGAUCAAAUCAAGAAAAUGUGUGAUCGAUCUUUAAUCGCUUUGCAUUAUUACAUCAUUUCCUAAAAUUCUGGUGACAUACUUCCAAAAGUUUGUUCCUUUUUGGUUAAGUAAUCUCUCUCAAGCUGUCUCUCCUCCAAUUAAUUUAAUUGGUUCUUCAGCUUUUCUGAACAAGAACAGAGGAGCUCUGUCUGGAUUCCACUUCUCUCUUAUAUAUAUAUACACAUACACACGUGUGUUUGCUUGCUUCAUCUCUGCCCUUGUCCCUAAAAAGUGCACUCUUAUAGAGAAGAGAGCAUAAACAGAAACAGAGAAGAAGCUUUGUUGUUGUUGUUGUGUAGCAGACUAUGGAGAGGUAUGAUAUAGUGAAGGAUAUUGGGUCUGGUAAUUUCGGAGUGGCUAAGCUUGUUCGUGACAAAGUUUCUAAAGAGCUUUUCGCUAUUAAGUUCAUCGAGAGAGGCCAUAAGGUUUGUCUCUUUUCUACUCUGGUCCCAGUCUCCAUGUGAGCUAAUUUAAAGAAGUAUGACUGAAUAUGUUUAUUUUUAUGGAUGUUAUGAAGAUUGAUGAACAUGUUAAAAGAGAAAUCAUGAACCAUAGGUCACUCAACCAUCCCAACAUAAUAAGAUUCAAGGAGGUAUACGCAACCAUGUAUAUUUUUUUUCUUUUAUUAAAUUUUACCUUAUAUUAAUUCUUCAUAAGCUACAUAAUUGUAUUUUCUUGUUUUAUAAUAAGGUUCUGUUGACGGCAACACAUUUGGCUAUAGUAAUGGAAUAUGCCGCCGGAGGAGAACUCUUUGAAAGAAUCUGUAGUGCCGGUAGAUUCGGCGAAGAUGAGGUCACUCUUUUUUUAAUCAUCAUUAUCUAAAUAAAAAUUGUUUUACAAAAAUAAAUAAUUUGAACAAGGAAGGUUGUGUAUAACCUAUGGUUUCAGGCAAGGUUUUUCUUCCAGCAGCUAAUCUCAGGAGUUAGUUACUGUCAUAGUCUUGUAAGAGAAUCAUCCCAUUUAAAUAAAUAAAAAUGUGUUUUCACAUUUUCCUUUUUGGCAAUGAAAUUAAAAAGUGUUUCUUCAUUUUUUUUUGUUUUUGGUUUUUUAAAUUGAUGAAAUAAGCAAAUUGCCAUAGAGAUCUAAAGCUAGAGAACACGCUAUUAGAUGGAAGUACAGCACCACGUGUAAAGAUAUGUGAUUUUGGAUACUCAAAGUCAGGAGUUCUUCAUUCUCAACCAAAGACAACAGUGGGAACACCUGCUUACAUUGCACCUGAAGUCCUUUCCAAAAGAGAGUAUGAUGGCAAGAUCGCUGAUGUUUGGUCUUGUGGAGUCACUUUGUAUGUCAUGCUCGUUGGUGCUUACCCUUUUGAAGAUCCUUCUGAUCCUAAAGAUUUCAGGAAGACCAUCGGUCGGAUCCUGAGGUCGCAGUAUUCUAUACCUGACUAUGUCCGAGUUUCUGAUCUAUGCAAACAUCUUCUCUCUCGAAUAUUCGUGGCCAACCCUGAAAAGGUAAAUAAGUUAUACUAUCUUAAUUUUGAGUUUUUACUGCAGAGCUCGUCUGCAUAGCUAAGUGAAACAUUGAUCAUGGAC
rnacentral:lncRNA from 1 species